AUACGUAGGGGGCAAGCGUUGUCCGGAAUUAUUGGGCGUAAAGCGCGCGCAGGCGGCUUUGUAAGUCUGGUGUUUAAACCCGAGGCUCAACCUCGGGUCGCAUCGGAAACUGCAAGGCUUGAGUGCAGAAGAGGAAAGUGGAAUUCCACGUGUAGCGGUGAAAUGCGUAGAGAUGUGGAGGAACACCAGUGGCGAAGGCGACUUUCUGGGCUGUAACUGACGCUGAGGCGCGAAAGCGUGGGGAGCAAACAGGAUUAGAGACCCUGGUAGUCCACGCCGUAAACGAUGAAUGCUAGGUGUUAGGGGUUUCAAUACCCUUGGUGCCGAAGUUAACACAUUAAGCAUUCCGCCUGGGGAGUACGGUCGCAAGACUGAA
rnacentral:rRNA from 1 species